rnacentral:rRNA from 1 species
UCUGAAUAGGGCGAAUGAGUAUUUGGUCGUAGACCCGAAACCAGGUGAUCUACCCUUGGUCAGGUUGAAGUUCAGGUAACACUGAAUGGAGGACCGAACCGACUUACGUUGAAAAGUGAGCGGAUGAACUGAGGGUAGCGGAGAAAUUCCAAUCGAACUUGGAGAUAGCUGGUUCUCUCCGAAAUAGCUUUAGGGCUAGCCUCAAGUGAUGAUUAUUGGAGGUAGAGCACUGUUUGGACGAGGGGCCCCUCUCGGGUUACCGAAUUCAGACAAACUCCGAAUGCCAAAUAAUUUAACUUGGGAGUCAGAAUGUGGGUGAUAAGGUCCAUAUUCGAAAGGGAAACAGCCCAGACCACCAGCUAAGGUCCCAAAAUAUAUGUUAAGUGGAAAAGGAUGUGGCGUUGCCCAGACAACUAGGAUGUUGGCUUAGAAGCAGCCAUCAUUUAAAGAGUGCGUAAUAGCUCACUAGUCGAGUGACACUGCGCCGAAAAUGUACCGGGGCUAAACAUAUUACCGAAGCUGUGGAUUGUCCUUUGGACAAUGGUAGGAGAGCGUUCUAAGGGCGUUGAAGCAUGAUCGCAAGGACAUGUGGAGCGCUUAGAAGUGAGAAUGCCGGUGUGAGUAGCGAAAGACGGGUGAGAAUCCCGUCCACCGAUUGACUAAGGUUUCCAGAGGAAGGCUCGUCCGCUCUGGGUUAGUCGGGUCCUAAGCUGAGGCCGACAGGCGUAGGCGAUGGAUAACAGGUUGAUAUUCCUGUACCACCAUUAUUCGUUUUAAGCGAUGGGGGGACGCAGUAGGAUAGGCGAAGCGUGCUGUUGGAGUGCACGUCCAAGCAGUGAGAUUGAGUGUUAGGCAAAUCCGGCACUCUUAAGAUUGAGCUGUGAUGGGGAGAGGAACUUGUUCCUCGAGUCGUUGAUUUCACACUGCCGAGAAAAGCCUCUAGCUAGAAUAACGGUGCCCGUACCGCAAACCGACACAGGUAGUCAAGAUGAGAAUUCUAAGGUGAGCGAGCGAACUCUCGUUAAGGAACUCGGCAAAAUGACCCCGUAACUUCGGGAGAAGGGGUGCUCUUUGAGGUUCACGCUUCGAAGAGCCGCAGUGAAUAGGCCCAAGCGACUGUUUAUCAAAAACACAGGUCUCUGCUAAACCGUAAGGUGACGUAUAGGGGCUGACGCCUGCCCGGUGCUGGAAGGUUAAGAGGAGUGGUUAGCGCAAGCGAAGCUACGAAUCGAAGCCCCAGUAAACGGCGGCCGUAACUAUAACGGUCCUAAGGUAGCGAAAUUCCUUGUCGGGUAAGUUCCGACCCGCACGAAAGGCGUAACGAUUUGGGCACUGUCUCAACGAGAGACUCGGUGAAAUCAUAGUACCGGUGAAGAUGCCGGUUACCCGCGACAGGACGGAAAGACCCCGUGGAGCUUUACUGUAGCCUGAUAUUGAAAUUCGGUACAGUUUGUACAGGAUAGGUAGGAGCCUUAGAAGCGUGAGCGCUAGCUUACGUGGAGGCAUUGGUGGGAUACUACCCUAAUUGUAUUGGAUUUCUAACCCGCAGCACUUAUCGUGCUGGGAGACAGUGUCAGGCGGGCAGUUUGACUGGGGCGGUCGCCUCCUAAAGAGUAACGGAGGCGCUCAAAGGUUCCCUCAGAAUGGUUGGAAAUCAUUCAUAGAGUGUAAAGGCAUAAGGGAGCUUGACUGCGAGACCUACAAGUCGAGCAGGGUCGAAAGACGGACUUAGUGAUCCGGUGGUUCCGCAUGGAAGGGCCAUCGCUCAACGGAUAAAAGCUACCCCGGGGAUAACAGGCUUAUCUCCCCCAAGAGUUCACAUCGACGGGGAGGUUUGGCACCUCGAUGUCGGCUCAUCGCAUCCUGGGGCUGUAGUCGGUCCCAAGGGUUGGGCUGUUCGCCCAUUAAAGCGGUACGCGAGCUGGGUUCAGAACGUCGUGAGACAGUUCGGUCCCUAUCCGUCGUGGGCGUAGGAAAUUUGAGAGGAGCUGUCCUUAGUACGAGAGGACCGGGAUGGACAUACCUCUGGUGUACCAGUUGUCGUGCCAACGGCAUAGCUGGGUAGCUAUGUAUGGACGGGAUAAGUGCUGAAAGCAUCUAAGCAUGAAGCCCCCCUCGAGAUGAGAUUUCCCAACUUCGGUUAUAAGAUCCCUCAAAGAUGAUGAGGUGAAUAGGUUCGAGGUGGAAGCGUAGCGAUACGUGGAGCUGACGAAUACUA